rnacentral:rRNA from 1 species
UACGUAGGGUGCAAGCGUUACUCGGAAUUACUGGGCGUAAAGCGUGCGCAGGCGGUUAUUUAAGACAGUUGUGAAAUCCCCGGGCUCAACCUGGGAACUGCAUCUGUGACUGCAUAGCUAGAGUACGGUAGAGGGGGAUGGAAUUCCGCGUGUAGCAGUGAAAUGCGUAGAUAUGCGGAGGAACACCGAUGGCGAAGGCAAUCCCCUGGACCUGUACUGACGCUCAUGCACGAAAGCGUGGGGAGCAAACAGG